rnacentral:precursor_RNA from 14 species
ACAGGUAGAAAACCCCUAGGCCGGCUGGAGUCUCUUGAGAGCCAUAUGGAGGAUGUUUUCUUAACAUCUCCUCCCUAUGCUUUCAUGAGUCUUCAGUAGGUCACAUCUUCAACUUGGUUUUU